UUUCUUAGAAAAUUAUGUCAAAUCACAAUUAAAAAUAAAAAAAAUUCUCGACUUUUUUCUUUAAAAAAUUCUUUACGGUUCAAAAAAACGUUUCGAAAAGAAAAUUGCAUGUAGAAAUUCUGUGGAACCGUUUCCUUUUCGUUUCAAAGUGUGAUUUUUAUAUAAAAUCGGAAUAAAAACUCGCUGAAGCUGGGAAGACCACUUUUAAUUCACUGAACUACUUCUUAAUGCAACCGACUGUGGCAAAGGUACCUAUACAGAAAACAGGACAUCGAAGAAGUAAUUCACAUUUAAUGGAAAUGUUGCACUUACAUGUAAGUGGCAGUAUGCUGUUGCAUCUAACACGGAUGAAAUCUUAUAUAGCUUAUACAUGUUGCUCGCAGGAUACAGGUGCGCAGCAGAAAAAAAAUAAAAUAACAUAAAAAUAAAAUUUAUCAAGAACUGGUUCAGUGUCGAGAGAAUAUUAAUUUUUUUUUCUGUAGGUAUGUUACGGUGAAGGAGAUAGAAAAUUUUAUUUUUCAUAUUAUUCCGGGAAAAUAUAAGUCGUUAUGAGUAUUUAAUAUACACUUUUGCUCUUGCAAUCUUCGUUAAUUGGAUUUGUAAAGUAGCAUGCUAAGCUGUUUUUGGAUGAUUUAUGUAUUUAAUUCAGGAGCACACUG